GGUUCUACUGUGAUGUAGUGGUUAUCACGUCCGCCUUGAACGCGGGAGACCGAGGUCUAGCUAUAGGCUCGAGUCCUCGCCGGCGAACCA